rnacentral:rRNA from 1 species
ACAACGGGUGGAGCCUGCGGUUAAUUGGACUCAACGCCGGGCAGCUCACCGGAUAAGACAGCUAGAUGAUAGCCGGGCUGAAGACUCUGCUUGACUAGCUGAGAGGAGGUGCAUGGCCGUCGUCAGUUCGUACUGUGAAGCAUCCUGUUAAGUCAGGCAACGAGCGAGACCCACGCCAACAGUUGCCAGCAUGUCCUCCGGGAUGAUGGGGACACUGUUGGGACCGCCUCUGCUAAAGAGGAGGAAGGAAUGGGCAACGGUAGGUCAGCAUGCCCCGAAUUAUCCGGGCUACACGCGGGCUACAAUGGUCAGGACAAUGGGUAUCGACACCGAGAGGUGGAGGCAAUCUCCUAAACCUGUCCUUAGUUCGGAUUGUGGGCUGCAACUCGCCCACAUGAAGCUGGAAUCCGUAGUAAUCGCGUUUCAAAAUAGCGCGGUGAAUAUGUCCCUGCUCCUU